rnacentral:rRNA from 1 species
GAUGAACGCUGGCGGCGUGCCUAAUACAUGCAAGUAGAACGCUGAAGGAAGGAGCUUGCUCUUUCCGGAUGAGUUGCGAACGGGUGAGUAACGCGUAGGUAACCUGCCUGGUAGCGGGGGAUAACUAUUGGAAACGAUAGCUAAUACCGCAUAACAGUAGAUGUUGCAUGAUAUCUACUUAAAAGGUGCAAUUGCACCACUACCAGAUGGACCUGCGUUGUAUUAGCUAGUUGGUGAGGUAACGGCUCACCAAGGCGACGAUACAUAGCCGACCUGAGAGGGUGAUCGGCCACACUGGGACUGAGACACGGCCCAGACUCCUACGGGAGGCAGCAGUAGGGAAUCUUCGGCAAUGGACGGAAGACUGACCGAGCAACGCCGCGUGAGUGAAGAAGGUUUUCGGAUCGUAAAGCUCUGUUGUAAGAGAAGAACGAGUGUGAGAGUGGAAAGUUCACACUGUGACGGUAUCUUACCAGAAAGGGACGGCUAACUACGUG